GGGCACUCAGCCCCAUCCCAUGGCUCUGCACGGCCGAGCAUCGCGCCAGCAUUGGGUCGUUGGUGUGCAGCGAUGCUGGAGUGAAGCCACAGUGGGGUCAGGGCUGCUGCACCUCGCUCAGCUCAUUCCCUCCCUUCCUGAAGAUGGAGAGUGCUGCGUUCAGACACAGACAGCAGAGCAGCAGCACAGAGAGGUUCCUCCCGGCCCGACAAAGGGCUGUGCUGGCGCUGGAGGGGCCCUUCUGCAGCACUGAACCAUUUUUCUCAUUCUUUAAGACCUUUGGGUGCAUUUUGUAUACAAGUACUGCUGAGUGGGGGGCUGUGCUGGAUACUGAGCUGCUUUGGCCACCAGGGUCACUCACUGUAUGUUGGGCAGUGCCUGCUGGCUGUGUCCCUUUGCUGUGGCUCCGACCUCUCUGUUCCUUUCACUUCCAGACCUCUGAUCUCUUCCCUGAUCCGUGAGUGUGUUUUGGUCCCUGCAGGCUCCCUGCAGCUUUGGGUACACCCCCCAUUUUCAGGGGGAUCCUGUUCCCAGGGACGUGCUGUUAUGCAGCUGCAGUGGGUUCAGCUUCCAUCACCAGCAGGCACAGAGCGAUCAUCAGCGCCGUUCCACUGCGAGCGCUGCGUCCUUCCCCGUGUGAGCUCUGCAUUGAGAUGCACAGCAGCACCAGAGGUGACAGGAGAAGGGAGAGCAGAGCCAGGCUGACCCGAGCAGGAGACUGAAGGCAAUUACUGUGAAGCCAGUGGUGAUUUUCCCAAUUCAGCUUCAAGGCAAAAGAAUUCUUUUGCUUCCCAGUGCCAUUCCUUUGAGCCAUCAGCCGCUUCCUUCCCUCCGUACCUCACACCACCCCAUUUCUUUGGCUUUAUUCCUCUUUUCCCUGCUUCCCCUUCAUCGCCUUGGGCAGAAGGAGUCCAUAGGACUGAAUUUGCGGGGAGGCAAGGAGGGGGAAAUGGGAGCAGCCACCAAAAAUAGAUGCGCCAAUCCCUCCAUGCCCCCCAUAUCACCGCAGCCAGUGGGGCUCCAGUGGGGCCGUAAACAUGUUGUGGUUGCUAGGUCAGUAAGGGCUGUUAUUUUGGGAUCCCGUGUGCUCCAUUGCUUCCCAACAGCACGACUGCUGCCACGCAUCUGGCUUCUAAAUGCGCCCCGUGCACAGCUUUAAAAAGGGAUUCUUCCCAAGGUCGUGGGGUGGGUCCUUCUAUGGGGGGUUUGGGGCCGUUCCUCCCUGCCCCCUCCCCUGUGUGCACUGCAGGGCAGCGGGCGGCUGCUGCCUCCUCCGGCACGGGGCUGUGCCUGCACUGAGUCUCCCAUUGAACUCAUUAAGCAAAAUGAGGUGCUGUGUGCUGCUAAUUGUUGUUAAAAUCUCCUAGUGCCGUUUAUUGUGCAGAGAUGAAAGUCAGCCUCAGCACAGCCCUGUGCUCGCUGUUAGCCGGCGCGCUGCCGGUGAAGUUGGAAGGUAUGGCUGAGUCUGUAUAACGAUACGGCUCUGACUCAUUAACAUGGGGUAAUUAAAGCAUCCAGAGCCAUGGUCUGUAAGGGGGAGGGCAGCAGGUGGUGCUGGGCUGGGGGGGGGUCCUAUCAGCACUGCCAGCACCUCUCACCAUGCCCGGGGUGGGCAGCAGAGCGCUGUGAAAGGCACCGCUGGCUGCUCUGCUGCCCUCCCAGAGAGCUUUGGGUGCUCCAGACCUGACAAAGCGUCACAACGGGGGAACAUCCUUACGAGCAGAGAUGUCUGGUCUGCUCCCAUGGCCGGGCAGAUGGAGGGCCCAUCACAGCGAGUGGUUCUGCACAGAGCAGGGCUUCUCCUGCCCGCACACCCCGCACCAUUUCCCUCCUCGGAAGCGACACAAAUCACUGCCGUGUCCUCAUUCAGCACUGCAGUUAUCCAGGCCAUUUCCUCAAACAAUCGUUUGCUUUUUAAACCCGCCCUUAAUUUAACAAUUUAUUCCCCUUAAGCCCACAGCACUGAGGUGAUGCUCGUGCGGUGUCCGAGAAACGCAAAGCCCAGAACUUUCACGAGGCCAGACAAUGAUUUUUCUUCUUUGUGGUUUAUUGUAUCCUCUUAUCUUGUCAUAUAAUAGAAAUAAUGUUUAUGGCAUUGAGGCCUCAGCAUCACUUGGCAUUUAACCAACCUCAAAAGCAGUUUAUUGCUUUGUAUACUCUGCCACCGUGACCAUUAUCCCUUAAAUCUCUAUUGCUCUGUAAUAUACGAGGCAACAAACGGCUUCGGCGAUUGGUUCAGGGUGGGACCGAAGCUAAGGUGUGUUUUGUGGCUUGUAUAAUCCAAACGAAUAUGGAUUAUUCCUUUCAUACAAGUCAGAAAGGGGAAGAAAUGGGCAGCUUCUCCCUCCGAGGAGCAUCCCAGUGACGAGCUCUCCUUGCUGAGGUUCUCACUUUGACGUGGCCUGGGACGUGCCUGGUGCUGGGGCAGCUCGGGCGCUGCUCUGGGUUGUUCUGGGCUGUGAUUCACGCUGAUAUUUCUUUGUCCCGGUGUCAGGCAGGGAGCAGCACAAGGACUGAGCCCGGUCUGUGUUCCUGCAGAGGCAGAACGCCCUCGGUGGAGGCAGGUUGGAUUCAGAGUGAUGGAGUGCGGCAGGGAGGGAGGGAGAGCAGCGCCUGCGCCCGUCUGCUUUACAGCUGAGUGUUUUCCACUUUAAUUCUUGGUGCUGAUUUAACGGCCCUGCUGGGGUCUGCCUCCCAAGGCUCCGUUCUGGCGCUGCUGAAGUGCGGCGCAGGAAAUUCAGAGGGCUGAAAUCAAAUCCUGGAGCUACGUCAGCCCCAUUGGUGACCUGCUGUGAGAGCAGGCAGAAUUUAAAUGGCUGUUAAGCAGAGUUAUGGCACCCUGUCCUCCUGUAGGAAUUGUUUCUGUCCCGGCAUUGGGGCUGAGCGGGGCUCGGCUGGGGCACAGGCUGGCUUUCCUAGAGAGCUCCUGGCAGCCAUGGGUUUAAUGAGGCUGGAGCUGAUAGGUCUUUGGAAACCUGAGCUCAUUAAGCAGGAGAGCAGCUGAUAGCGUUGGUCACCAAUGGGCCGGUGGGGAUGGACGGCCGUGGGGUGGCACAGACACGGUGCCAUGGGGCACCAGGGGGCCCACAUGGAUCCCAUGGAUCCCAUCCGUCCAUGAGCCCUUUCAAACAGCCCUGCCUGUCCCUGAGGGCCACGUCUGCGUAUGGCCAAACGUCAAAGUGGGAAAUGGUGGAUGGGAGCAGCGGAGCGGAGACGGUGCCCUUCCCUGAGCUUUCCCAUAUGCGUGGGCACAGACACCCCUGUGCUGCACGUAGCAUGCAGAGCCACGGCUGUGCUGCAGCCCUUCUGCACCCGCGUGGUCCGCAGAGCCGGGCCAUAAAGCGCAGCUUUGCUUCGCCCUGUUUUAAAUGGAAGGAAAACGGCUGCGGCUCCGCCACUGCUCAGCCCACAUCUGCAGCCCUUUAUCUGCAGCUGCCAGCGGCCGGGCUGAAAUUCUGCAGAGAAACAUCUCGCCUUCGAGGCCUUCCAUCACCUCCCAGGAAUGCAGGUUCGCGGAGUUAAUUAUUUAUUUCCAAUUACGGCCCUUAACAGCUGCGGUGCCUGCACGAAUGGCACAGGCUGCGCACUGACAGCGUGGAAGGAGGGCUCCGAGGGCAGCUCUGGGGUUGUUAGCACCAAAAAAGUGCAUUCAUCUGAGCUGCAACUCGCGUGUGCUGUCAGCAGAGCGGGAUGGUCCCCCCCACCUCCCACGAAGGUGUUUUUGGAGGUGGGGAGAGGAGAGCUAAUUUUGAAUAGUAAUCAGCUGGAGAAGGCAUCUGAAACCAGUAAACGUUUAUUUUUUACACUCCUAUAACUUAAAAACGGCCAAACCAAUUUAAACCAAAUUGGAUAAUAAAAAAUAUUGCUCCUAGGCUGAGCCCCUCUAUGCCAAGUUCCAGCCUAGAAUGAAUUUUUAUGGCCAAAUUAUAAACCCCCUAGAAAUGAAGGUUUAAAAUGGAAAUGUUGACAGACCUUUAACUACAAAAGCACUAUAACAGAACUCCUUUUUUUAUAAAAUGGCUGUUUUAAAAUAUAAUUAAGACUUAAAUAUUAUUUAAUAGCAGCAUUUCCUGUAAGUUAAAGCCUUUAUCAUUCCUAUGGCUGGGAUUCAUUGCCAGCUCCAAGAGGGCCAUUUCUGCUUUGCAUUGGAAGCACGUGUGCGCACUGAAGCGGUGCAGACACUUGUCUGUCAGAUGGAAAUGGCUCUGGACAGCUUUCCAGACCCCUCUCUGCUAAAUAAGAGCCCGGAUGCCGCAGCACUACUGGAGCUGUGCACAAAUCCCACAGCAAACUCAUGGCAGCCUGUGCCAAAGGGCCGACGUGUGCUCGCCUGAAACGCCGGUGCAGGAGAACGUGUUUGCAUUCCCUCUGGCUGGUGGGGUAUUAAUGAGGAGCUGUGCCUCUCUGGCUGAUGAGGUAUUAACGAGGAGCUCUGCUGUCCUCAGCCCGUGCCCGGAGCAGCCAUCUGCAGCCAUCUGCACUGCAGUGCAGCGGGGAGGGCCGUCCCUUGGGGUUGUGCUGCUCUGCUGCAGAGCUCCCUGCAGCCCUGCACUGCUCUGUGUGCUGCAGGGCGGCUGCUGCACUGCACCCAGCACAGGGAUUGCUUUCCAUCCCUGCCCCCUUGGGGUAAUUCCUCUAUUUAUUUCGUUGCUGCCCCCCCCCCCCCAGCCCCUUUGCUGUGGCUUUAUAAAUAACCCCUCAGUGGCUGCUGCAGUACUGCAGUGCAGGAGCUGUUGCAACACCCGCUUCCCCUCAUGGCACAGUGCUUUGACAGCGGGACGAGCAGUGGAGGGGUGACAGCACAGCGACCUCUGCCUCCUGCUGCUGCCUUUCUCUGCGUCCUUCUCCCUGGGUUAAGCCAGCUGCCUUCCUCACCCUCCUCAUCGGGACGGGCUGUUCUCCACCUGCAGCCAGGAGGGUCGGGGCAGCUCUUCCUGCUGGGCAGGGAUGCUGUGGGCUGGGUGCUGCUUCCCAGGGCUGCUGGUGCCCACGAGCUGUUCUGUGCUGUUUUUCUGUACCGCAGUGCACGGUGUGGGCACGGCCGGGAGGUCUCUGGGAGCUGCUGGCUCCGCUCCAUGCGGCUCUGCAGCGAAUUUCACUAAAGAGCUCUCAGAUCCAAUUCAGUGUAUAUUUGGGGGGAGGAGGCUGUGAAUUGCUUUACGUGUCCGUAGUGGAGAUAAGUGACUUCAACUCGCAUUGACUCUUUUCUAGCUCCAAUUUUCUCAGCAACAGCAGCUGGGCCGCCUGGCUGCUCGCUGCGGAGCUGCACCGAGGUUUGGCAGCAGCCCUCACAUUUCUUAGAGUUAUCUGCUCUGCUGAGCGCCCGUUCCAAGCAGCGCCGCGUUAGGAUUUCCACCCCAUUGGCUGCAGCAGCAAUUAGCAGGAAGAAAUAACACCUCUGGAUUUGCAGCAGUAGCGGCGUGGCUUCCCCCUCUGUGUCUGAUGCUGUGCUGAGGCUGAGAGCAACGCCCCCAGGUAUGCAGCAGCUGCCAUCGCUGGGUGCAGGUUUUGCAGAGGGUGCACUUACAUUUUGGUGCUGCAGAAGGGGCACAAAGAGCUCCCAGCCCUUCCAAGAGGGGCCCUCCUGCAGCACGGCCGUCUCUGCAGUUCCUCCAGCGCUGCCAGCUUUCUAACAAAUCACGUCUCUGUUUUUUUCCCUGGGCCGUAUCCUCGCUGUUUGUUCCCACAUUCUGAGGCAGUUUCCACUUUCCAAAGAGGGGGGGACAGGGAGGGAGGGUUUCUCCUUUCUUGGGAACAUGAUCAGGGCUGUGGAACUACCCACAAAGGAGCAUGGCCGGGCACUGGCAGGGAGUGCUUUCUUCUCCUUUUGAUUUAAGGGGUUCCACAACCGCAGAGUGUCUGCUCUGAACAAAGUAAUCUCAGCCUGGUCCUUACCUAGAGCUGUUGCUCUAUAUCACAGAUGCAAGCUGCGUGUGCUGCCAGCACGAGGCCGUAAAUCGAGCUGGGCUCUUUUAUUAACUCAAAAUUAGAUGGAUCUAAAAACUUGCUUGUGGUCUGCAGCUUAACAGGAGCACGGAGCUGCCCAGGGCUGCUCCUGCAGCAAUGCACACUGCAGUGCUCCGUGCUGACUGUGCUCCUGCAGCAGUGCACACUGCAGUGCUCCUGUGGCGGGCACAAAUACUUUGCUAUUUUAAAAGCAGUCUUUUGCUGACCGGGCUGUUUGCUUUGGGGGUUUUGUUGUUGUUGCUUUGAGGUUCCCAUCUCACCCCUCUGCUGAUCUCUGCACAUUCUGUGUUUUAUGGCAGGAGCAGAUCUCUCAUUCUGCAGCACGGGUGCAGCAUGCAGCUGUAACAAAGCCCUCUCCUCCAUGCCUGCAUGGAGACAUUUAAUUCCCAGACAUGUGUGAGCGUGCAGGACUUGCUGUACAGUCUGGGACAAAAAUCAUCCGGGGGGGCUCAGCCUUCACCUCCCACCUCCUUCCCCAGCCCCAUGGAUCUGCAGGAGAGAGGAAUGGGCAGUAGGAGACCAAGCAGAGAUCAGACCCCUCCCAGAGGCUGAACCCCCCUCGUGUUCCGGGACCCCCCCCCCCUCCGGUGCUGUGGGGGGGGGGUCGCUCCGCCCCUCUGCGGCAGCGCAGUGGUGGUGGGCACAGUGUGAAUGGGGACAGUGCGUCCUUCUGCAGAGAGCCCACAGCCCUGCAUGGGGGAAAAACCCCAUUUAAGAGCACAGGUUCUUCUUGCUGGGGGGGGGGGGGGGGGGAAUAGAAUACCUUUCUGCAGUGAUAUCUGGGGUUUUUAUUCUGUGUUUUUUUCCCUAUAGCUGUGAGGCUGUGAGCAGAGCUUUGCAUAGAAGGCUUCUCUAAACUUGAAGCUGUAGGGUUUAUUUUUUUGGCCAUCCCUUCUCCCCCCAAUGUGGCUGCUGCUUUGCAUGAGGAGCUCGGGGAUGCAGCUCCUCCUUAAGGCACAGAACCCCACACUGGUGUGCCCAUUCCCGGCAAUACCACAUACCUGUUGAGCAAUACAUAUGUUCAUUUCCAGGGGGUUGAGGUGGAGGAGAUGCGGUGUUUGCAGGGGCUGCAGCCACACAAAGGGCCACGCAGCCGUGGGCAGAAGGGAGAGGUGCAGUGCAGUUCCUUCCAGGGGCACACAGAAGGGUCCCUUCGUUGUGCACAAUGUGGGCAAUGGGGGAUUGCUUUGGGAGCGUCACCCCGCUGCUGUGCGGGGGGAUUCGGGCUGAAUCGGGGGGGAUUUGGGCUAAUGGGCAGUAAGAAUGGGAAAGGCAGAGGUGUGUGUGUUUGGGGGGGGUGCUUUGUGACAUCUCCCCCCCCCCCAUGCUGGUGUGAGUGGGGGGUGUUAAUUAACGAACACUGCUUAACGAUGCGCCGAGAAACUGCACCGCCACAUCGCCGGCAUCGCAGCAGCUGUUCUGCUCAAAUCAUUUGAUUUGAUUUGAUUUGAUACGGCGGAUUAAAACAAUAAAAACAUUAAAAGUCCUUAAAAUUCCCCCCGGAGAGAAAACAUGCAGACGGGGGGGGGGAGCUGUGUGUGUGCAGAGGGUGGGAGAGCCGUAAAUCCAUCGGGCGGCGGCUCCGCUAAAUGGCACCAUUACACGAAAUGAGGUUCUGCGGAGCAGCCUUGUGAGUGGAUCUGAGCUGGGAGGGACCCUGGAGGGACCACAGAGCCACCACAGCACCCUCCCUGUGCUCCAUGCCCUAGGCUUUCCUUGCACCGAAGGAGCCGCUCCGCUUUGUCCUUACGGAGCGGUGCGGGCGCACAGCGAUGCUCAGCGCUCAUCGUUAGGCAGCCCUGCAGAUGGUGAAUGGGGCAGUGAAGGGCGUUGGGGUGCGCUGCAGCUGGGAUGGCUUUUGGAGGGGCUUUGCUCUGCUCCCCAAAGCUGUGAGAUGCGCUCAGCAUUGGGUUCCAUGGUGUCCGCCUGCAGUAGGGCAGCGUGCUGUUCAUUGCCAAGGGCUCAUUAAUACAGCCCGUGUCCCUCUGGGCGUGCACUGCAGCAGCCUCUGUGGUCCUCCACCACUUCUCCCCUCCUCGUUCCCCCACCAUCAUCCUCAGCUUUCAGCCAAACUCCGCCUGGUUUCUGCCCAGCCUGCCAAACUGCCAUUGCUGUGAUGCCGUGGUGCACAGCUCUGUCGUGGUGAGCUCCAAGGACCACCUCCGCCCCCCCAGGGACCAUCUCCUCCCUUCAAGGACCAUCCCCUCCAAGCCCAGGAGCACUGCAUCCCAAGAGAAAGGAAGGCAGGCCAGAGUGCCAGGAGGCCUUCUGAGGGCCCUACUGAGGCACAUGGAAAGUAAAGAGGAGGGGAUUGGUGGUAACCAGCAGCACCAGGGGCAAGCUGUGCCUGAGAACUUGUGGCCUUUUGCUGUGCCUUCCAACCCCAACCGUUCCGUGAUUCCAACCCAGUGCGGUGCAGGUGAGAUGUGGGAGAAGAGCCCUCGCAGCGGGCGGCAGUGAUGGCACAGGAUCCCACUUUUCUCCUUCAGUGCCACACAGCUGCCCAGGCAGCUCAGCCCUGGAGCUCCCCUCUAUAGGGCAGGGGAGGAAUACAGCUCCUUGCUAUAGGGCAGGAAGGAAUUGCACACCUCGCUAUAGGGAGGGCGGGGCUGAGUACAGCUCCCCGCUGUAGGGCAGACGGGAAUUGAGCUCGCCGCUGUAGGGCAGGCAGGACUUCAGCUCCCUGCCCUCCCUUUGCUCUCAGCCCUUGCAGCACGAGGUGCUGUGCUCGCACGGAACCGCAGCUCGCGCUGCUGGGCGCACAGCCGCGCUCUCCUUUGUUCGCACGUUUCCUGCGGCGCCGCUCCGUGCACGCGCCCGGCCCCGGCUGCUCUCCCCGUGCUGAAGCGGCGCUGCCUUUGCCCGCUUUAUUUGCUGCCUGGUGGGUUGGGGGAGGAUUGAUGGCUCUCCCAAGGUCACAGCGGAGCGCUGCGGUGCUGCUGGGAGUCGAGCCGGGGCCGUACGGAUGAUUCACGUCCACGCCGGAGCCAUCCGGGGCUUCCCAUGGGGCAGCCACGCAUCCGUGGGCUCCGCCGCUCCGCCCCUCCGCUCACCUCCGUUAAUUACCGCUGCGCCUCUCAAGUUACGUGGCAGCGGUAAUUAAUACCGGGGCUCUGAUAACCUUGGCUCGUCGGGAAGGAGGCGGGCAGCGCUCCGCCGUGUGGAAGUCGGCGCUCAUUGCAGCCUGG
rnacentral:lncRNA from 1 species